rnacentral:rRNA from 1 species
AUUGAACGCUGGCGGCAGGCCUAACACAUGCAAGUCGAGCGGAUGAAGGGAGCUUGCUCCCGGAUUCAGCGGCGGACGGGUGAGUAAUGCCUAGGAAUCUGCCUGGUAGUGGGGGAUAACGUCCGGAAACGGGCGCUAAUACCGCAUACGUCCUGAGGGAGAAAGUGGGGGAUCUUCGGACCUCACGCUAUCAGAUGAGCCUAGGUCGGAUUAGCUAGUUGGUGGGGUAAAGGCCUACCAAGGCGACGAUCCGUAACUGGUCUGAGAGGAUGAUCAGUCACACUGGAACUGAGACACGGUCCAGACUCCUACGGGAGGCAGCAGUGGGGAAUAUUGGACAAUGGGCGAAAGCCUGAUACAGCCAUGCCGCGUGUGUGAAGAAGGUCUUCGGAUUGUAAAGCACUUUAAGUUGGGAGGAAGGGCAGUAAGUUAAUACCUUGCUGUUUUGACGUUACCAACAGAAUAAGCACCGGCUAACUUCGUG